rnacentral:lncRNA from 1 species
UUAUCUUAGAUCGUACGAUACAAGAAUUUAUGUACCUAAAAAUAUGCUAUAUUUCAGCAAUGCCUCUAAAGAUUAUGUCCGCUUAGAAGGGAAAGUUUGUGGCUGGUGAGACUACUAGUCGAGCGCCAUGAGUUACAAGGACUCGGGGAGAGCCUCCUGGUGAGGUUCCAUCUCAUACUUCACAUACCCCACCCUUUCC